rnacentral:rRNA from 1 species
UACGUAGGGGGCUAGCGUUGUCCGGAAUCAUUGGGCGUAAAGAGCGUGUAGGCGGCCCGGUAAGUCCGCUGUGAAAGUCGGGGGCUCAACCCUCGAAUGCCGGUGGAUACUGUCGGGCUAGAGUGCGGAAGAGGCGAGUGGAAUUCCUGGUGUAGCGGUGAAAUGCGCAGAUAUCAGGAGGAACACCAAUUGCGAAGGCAGCUCGCUGGGACGUAACUGACGCUGAGGAGCGAAAGCAUGGGUAGCAAACAGG